UACGUAGGGUGCGAGCGUUACUCGGAAUUACUGGGCGUAAAGCGUGCGCAGGCGGCUUGCCAAGUCAGAUGUGAAAGCCCCGGGCUCAACCCGGGAACUGCGUUUGAAACUGGCAGGCUAGAGUUUGGCAGAGGGGGGUGGAAUUCCACGUGUAGCAGUGAAAUGCGUAGAGAUGUGGAGGAACACCGAUGGCGAAGGCAGCCCCCUGGGCCAAAACUGACGCUCAGGCACGAAAGCGUGGGGAGCAAACAGG
rnacentral:rRNA from 1 species